rnacentral:rRNA from 1 species
AAUGGGGGAAACCCUGAUGCAGCAACGCCGCGUGAGCGAUGAAGGCCUUCGGGUUGUGAAGCUCUGUCUUCAGGGACGAUAAUGACGGUACCAGAGGAGGAAGCCACGGCUAACUACGUGCCAGCAGCCACGGUAAUACGUAGGUGGCAAGCGUUGUCCGGAAUUACUGGGCGUAAAGGGCGCGUAGGCGGUCUUUUAAGUCAGAUGUGAAAACCCGGGGCUCAACCUCGGACCUGCAUUUGAAACUGGGAGACUCGAGUGUCGGAGAGGAAAGCGGAAUUCCUAGUGUAGCGGUGAAAUGCGUAGAUAUUAGGAGGAACACCAGUGGCGAAGGCGGCUUUCUGGACGAUAACUGACGCUGAGGCGCGAAAGCGUGGGGAGCAAA